CAACAUGAUUAUUCGUUUCUAGUGACAUUGAUAACAAUGGUGAAUGGCAAGAACCUACUUCUCCUCGACGGGUAUGCUUACUACAAGAGGUAUACCAGGAAACUCUUCGACAAGUGGUGCUGUACAACUUUCCCGACAUGCAAAAGCUACUUGAGCGUCGACAAAGAUUUAAACCUAAACGAGAAUGAUAUGAAUCUGGAACAUAAUCAUAAUAGGAAGAACUUUGUUCAGCUAAAUACUGGAAGAUAUAUGCGUGUGUGAUUUAUACCUGUAGGCAUUUCAAAAAUUAGCACACACUAUCACUCUGGCGAAUGGCAAAACCCAUAUCUUCCACCAGAACUAUACCUUCUUCAAGCACUAUCCAAAGAAGAAUAACAUUACUCGAUGGACCUGCACAGCUUGGCCUAAAUGCAAAUCGUAUCUUCUUGUUACACCAAAUUUUGAAAUAAUCAAAACUGAGCUAUCACAUAAUCACCCAAUGAAAAGACUGGUGGAUAAUGAAAUUGGUUAUGUAAAGUGGUAAUACAAUUAAAAUUAAAGUUUUUUUUGCGAAAA